AUUGAACGCUGGCGGCACGCCUAACACAUGCAAGUCGAGCGGUAGCAGGACCUGUAGCAAUACAGGUUGCUGACGAGCGGCGGACGGGUGAGGAAUACGUAGGAACUUGCCCUUCAGUGGGGGAUAACCAAGGGAAACUUUGGCUAAUACCGCAUAAUCUCGGGAGAGUAAAGCUGCCGCAAGGUGGUGCUGAAGGAGAGGCCUGCGUCCGAUUAGCUAGUUGGUGAGGUAAGAGCUCACCAAGGCGAUGAUCGGUAACUGGUCUGAGAGGACGACCAGUCACACUGGGACUGAGACACGGCCCAGACUCCUACGGGAGGCAGCAGUGGGGAAUAUUGGACAAUGGGGGCAACCCUGAUCCAGCGAUGCCGCGUGAGUGAAGAAGGCCCUCGGGUCGUAAAGCUCUUUAGGUCGGGAAGAAGGUUAUUGGAGGAAAUGCUAGUAACUUGACGGUACCGACAGAAUAAGCACCGGCAAACUCUGUGCCAGCCGCCGCCGUAA
rnacentral:rRNA from 1 species